rnacentral:rRNA from 1 species
CAGCAGCCGCGGUAAUACGAAGGGGGCUAGCGUUGCUCGGAAUGACUGGGCGUAAAGGGCGCGUAGGCGGCGGCCAAAGUCAGGCGUGAAAUUCCCUGGCUCAACCCAGGGGCUGCACGAGAAACUGCAGGGCUUGAGUAUGGGAGAGGUGAGUGGAAUUUCCGGUGUAGCGGUGAAAUGCGUAGAUAUCGGAAGGAACACCUGUGGCGAAAGCGGCUCACUGGACCAUAACUGACGCUGAGGCGCGAAAGCUAGGGGAGCAAACAGGAUUAGAUACCCCGGUAGUCCCUGUCUCUUAUAA